rnacentral:rRNA from 1 species
GAUGAACGCUGGCGGCGUGCCUAAUACAUGCAAGUCGUGCGAACAGACGAGGAGCUUGCUCCUCUGACGUUAGCGGCGGACGGGUGAGUAACACGUGGAUAACCUACCUAUAAGACUGGGAUAACUUCGGGAAACCGGAGCUAAUACCGGAUAAUAUAUUGAACCGCAUGGUUCAAUAGUGAAAGACGGUUUUGCUGUCACUUAUAGAUGGAUCCGCGCCGCAUUAGCUAGUUGGUAAGGUAACGGCUUACCAAGGCAACGAUGCGUAGCCGACCUGAGAGGGUGAUCGGCCACACUGGAACUGAGACACGGUCCAGACUCCUACGGGAGGCAGCAGUAGGGAAUCUUCCGCAAUGGGCGAAAGCUUGACGGAGCAACGCCGCGUGAGUGAUGAAGGUCUUCGGAUCGUAAAACUCUGUUAUUAGGGAAGAACAAAUGUGUAAGUAACUAUGCACGUCUUGACGGUACCUAAUCAGAAAGCCACGGCUAACUACGUG